rnacentral:rRNA from 1 species
AGCGAACGCUGGCGGCAGGCCUAAUACAUGCAAGUCGAGCGGCCGUAGCAAUACGGCAGCGGCAGACGGGAGAGUAACACGUGGGAACGUACCCUUCGGUUCGGAACAACCCAGGGAAACUUGGGCUAAUGCCGGAUACGUCCGUAAGGAGAAAGAUUUAUCGCCGAAAGAUCGGCCCGCGUCUGAUUAGCUUGUUGGUGAGGUAACGGCUCACCAAGGCGACGAUCAGUAGCUGGUCUGAGAGGAUGAUCAGCCUCACUGGGACUGAGACACGGCCCAGACUCCUACGGGAGGCAGCAGUAGGGAAUAUUGGACAAUGGGCGCAAGCCUGAUCCAGCCAUGCCGCGUGAGUGAUGAAGGCCCUAGGGUUGUAAAGCUCUUUCGGCGGGGAAGAUAAUGACGGUACCCGCAGAAGAAGCCCCGGCUAACUUCGUGCCAGCCGCCGCCGUAA